GCGCGGCGGCGGCUUACCUGGGCGCUGCGCUCUGGACCGCCGCCUAAUCAUCUGGCCUCAAGUCAGGCAGGACAGCUGGGCCCUCAAAGGACCCACCGCAUCCGCAGCGCUGCAGGAAGACGAGGAGGAGGAUGAAGGAGCAGGAACUAAUCGCUCUCCUCGUCUGACGGGAUGUGCAUAACGACCCGGCGUCCUGCGCUGGCGAGGAGCGGCGUCGACGUUCUGCAGGAUUGGAAACGUUGAUGUCUGAUCAGUAAUGAUGAUGGCGAUGACAACCUGGUGCACGGUGGCGACGCGGGACAGCAGACGACUCUCACAGAUGGUGGAGGAACUUAAAGGUUGGGCUGUUGGUCGCCGUGUUUGUUCUGCUCUCCUCCUGGACCAAUCGCGUGGCUCCGGAGCCCCUCUGAGUUGAUUAACCGCGCCGGCUUGCCAGCAGCUUCCCUGAUUGUGAUUACCUUCUGUGUUUUCUAAUUUGGACCCGGCUUGAAGUGGUUCUAAGUCUGAGCGCUUGACAUUCCCUCGAACGGGCCACAAAAUCCGUCAUUAGCCGCUGCAUGUGCGGCUCCUGCUCCUAUUGUCUUUGUCUCAUUUAAUGCUUGUCUCGUGUGAAAUGAACUAUCAGGCCACCAAGAGCACUUAUGAUAAAAAAUGAUGGUGGGAAUCCUGAAAUAUGGAGCUUUAUGGGAGCCAGAGCCUACUUCUACAAGGUUAAUGAACUCUCACUAACUUUAAUAGUCUGUUUUCCGACUCAUGCAUCUUCAUAAAAGCGCCCUUCCCCAAAGUCUGCAGGCGAGGGGUGCCAUUUCAAACAGCUGUGCCAGGCGAGCCAAAUGAAAGGAACCUCAUGAUGAAUCGCAUCCUCCUUCCUUCCAUUUCUGCGCCGUUCACCUCACCUGGCAAACCGUCGGAGGAUUACCUUCAUUCCCCCUUGAUGCCGAGAUGUAAGCGAACGGAGAGGAUGGGGGGGGGGGCGACGUUAAGUUCCUAAUCACCUGGACCGAACGAGGGCGCGGAGGGGAAGCGGAGUCCCAGGGGUGGCUUUAAAGAGCGAGCAGCCGGGGUUGGAGCUCCAGGCUCGCUCGCAGGUCUGCAGACACACAAAGGCUCACAUUUUAGGCUGAGGACCCCCAGAUACAAACAUGUAAAAGUUUGUUCACUUUGUGGUUAUUUUUAUUCCCUCGUUUGUGUUUAAAGCUUUUUAAAGCUUUUAAAAGUUUGAUUUUAUCUGAAACAGCAGCAGCUAAAAAUGAGCUAUAAUUCCUAAAUCUGACUUAACCAAACGGCUUCCUUAAGUAAAAGUACAAACAAAAAUGCUCUCCAGCAAAAGUAUUUGCUUUUAAAAAUCCUUAAAGUGCUUGUUGAAUGUAUUCCAGGAUCAUUAAAUGUGUUUGGCCACCUGA